rnacentral:rRNA from 1 species
UAGUUACGGAUUAUUGGGUUUAAGGGUGCGUAGGCGGCCUGUUAAGUCAGGGGUGAAAUACGGUGGCUCAACCAUCGCAGUGCCUUUGAUACUGACGGGCUUGAAUCCAUAUGAAGUGGGCGGAAUAAGACAAGUAGCGGUGAAAUGCAUAGAUAUGUCUUAGAACUCCGAUUGCGAAGGCAGCUCACUAAGCUGGUAUUGACGCUGAUGCACGAAAGCGUGGGGAUCGAACAGGAUUAGAUACCCUGGUAGUCCACGCCCUAAACGAUGAUAACUCGAUGUUGGCGAUAGACAGCCAGCGUCCCAGCGAAAGCGUUAAGUUAUCCACCUGGGGAGUACGCCCGCAAGGGUGAAACUCAAAGGAAUUGACGGGGGCCCGCACAAGCGGAGGAGCAUGUGGUUUAAUUCGAUGAUACGCGAGGAACCUUACCCGGGCUUGAAAGUUAGUGGAGGAUGCAGAGACGCAUCCGUCCUUCGGGACACGAAACUAGGUGCUGCAUGGCUGUCGUCAGCUCGUGCCGUGAGGUGUUGGGUUAAGUCCCGCAACGAGCGCAACCCCUAUGUUUAGUUGCCAGCAUGUUAUGGUGGGGACUCUAAACAGACUGCCUGUGCAAACAGUGAGGAAGGUGGGGACGACGUCAAGUCAUCAUGGCCCUUACGUCCGGGGCUACACACGUGCUACAAUGGACGGUACAGCGGGCAGCUAGCUGGCAACAGCAUGCUAAUCUCUAAAAGCCGUUCACAGUUCGGAUCGGGGUCUGCAACUCGACCCCGUGAAGUUGGAUUCGCUAGUAUCGCGUAUCAGCAUGACGCGUGAAUACGUGCCCGGCUGGGCACGCCCGU